rnacentral:rRNA from 1 species
ACUACCAGGAUUCCUAGUAACGGCGAGUGAACGGGGAUUAGCCCAGCAUCGAAGCCUAUGCCUGUUUGGGUGUAAGGCAAUGUGAUGUUAUGGGGUGUACCUAGGGUCACUGGUCAACUCGAAGUCCAAUAUUGAAUGUGGCUUUUGUAUUUGGCCCAGAGCGGGUGAAAGGCCCGUGCGAGUUGACUGUUAGACAAGUCUAGUGGCCUCUAGAUGUACACUCUAUGGAGUCGGAUUGCUUGAGAAUGCAGUCCAAAGUUGGUGGUAAACUCCAUCAAAGGCUAAAUACUGGCACGAGUCCGAUAGCAAACAAGUACCGUGAGGGAAAGUUGAAAAGUACUCUGAAGAGAGAGUAAAUAGUACGUGAAACCACUUACAGGUAAACUGGUGGAGUCCAGCUGCGU